UAUUUAAGUAUUUAUUCACAUUAUUUGAAUUGCAAAUUAUAUUAAGACAUAAUUAUUAUAUAAGUCAUUAAUUAUUAUGGGAUUAAAUAUAUUUUAAUGUCAUCUUUAGAUUAAAAUUGGUACAAAAUAAACAUUUCCAUUAGCUAAAGAUGCUCACUGUGUAAGUAUUCAUCAAACUUUCAUAAUAUAAUUUGUUGAAUAAUUACAAGACAAGUUGCAGGUGGAUCCCAGAUAACCUGCAUAUCAUUCAUUAUUUUAUUACAAUAGCAAUUCUUGUGAUUUGCUGAAUUUAAGGCAUUCUUGUUGCAACAAUGCAUUGUAGCCAAUAGUGAGCGAGCGUCAACCAAUCAGAGGUGAUUGCGAUCGUGACAUUAUAGCCGUCAUUCAACCGCAAUUGAGCACUAAAAUCAAAGUGUCCACUUUUUCUGUCUGUGUGUGACUACAGUUUUUUUUUCUUGAUGUAUUUUAGUGUUUUUUGCUUUUUUGUGCGCAUGUGCGCAUUUGUGCACAACAAAUUUUAUGAACUUGAAGGUCACUUUUCAGAGAUAAGGAUGCACGCGCAAAACUAAUUUUAUUAAUUGCGCGUGUGCAAAUAGUGCACUAAAAAAGUAAACGAACACGACUUAAAAUCAAACAAACACGAUUAAUAAGUACUACCACUUUUUAAAGUUACGUCGAUGUACCUGCGCAGAAAUCUUUUUUGAAUGGUGCGAAUAUCUUAGCCAAUCAUAGCGCGCGUCCGUCCGAUAUUGGUUGUUGCCUGCAACAUGCACGUCAUGUUUUGCACGCGCAAAUUAUGAACGAGAUUUACAGAGAAAGCACGAGUAUCUGUUGUUCUCAUCUUAACGUCAAGCAAUAAGGUCUGACAUUCUGUUUUAUAGUUGAGUUUAUAGUUAUAUAUAGUAUAUAGUUAGUAUAGUUGAGUUUAUAGUUCGGUUUUAUAGUAUAAACGUGCAAACUGAAUCAUAAAUCAUUACUAUCAUAGGGUAGUGAGAAUGCUGCAGAAGUCCUCAUCGAUAAAGGUAUGCCGUUCAUACGCAGAUAGCUGGGGCGCGAUUUUGGAUUAUUUAACCUCUCCCUCGUUCUUUAUAAUGACCCGUUAUCGACUAUCGAGUAUCGACAAAUCUUUUUUUAGGUAUUACACACAACACCAGAGCAUCAGGUUCCAGUUCCAUAAGGGAUGUAAGUGCGAGCGAGAGGUCCGAUAAAAA